AUGGGCGAGCAGGCCGCGGCCGUUUCCUCCUGCGAGACGCCUGCUCCGGCGGAGGUGGGGACAGGGGUCGGGCAGAGGUCGCUGCCCACGCCGUUCUUGAACAAGACGUACCAGCUGGUGGAUGACCCGGCGGUCGACGAUGUCAUCUCGUGGAGCGAGGACGGGUCGGCGUUCAUCGUGUGGCGCCCCGCCGAGUUCGCGCGCGACCUUCUCCCCAAGUACUUCAAGCACAAUAACUUCUCCAGCUUCGUGCGCCAGCUCAACACCUACGGAUUUAGGAAGAUUGUGCCGGACAGGUGGGAGUUCGCCAACGACUGCUUCCGUCGAGGAGAAAAGCGGCUGCUUUGUGACAUACAUCGGCGAAAGGUGACGCCGACGGUGGCGGCCACCGCCGCGGUCACGGUAGCUGCGGCGGCCGCGAUUCCGGUAGCGCUGCCGGUGGCGAAGCGACAGGGCUCGCCGGUACUUUCCGGCGACGAGCAGGUGCUGUCGUCGAGCUCGUCCCCUGAGCCCCCCUUUCUGAAUCAAUACGCGCCGUCCUACUCCGGCUCAGGCGGCGUUGCCUCCGGCGAUCUCGGGGAAGAGAACGAGCGGCUGCGGCGGGAGAACUCGCGGCUGACGCGGGAGCUCGGGCAGAUGAAGAAGCUCUGCAAUAACAUUUUCGUCCUCAUGUCCAAGUACACCCACGGCCAGCAGGCCGACGCCGCCGACGUCGGGAAUUGCUCUGGUGAGUCGGCAGAGACCACGGCGCUCCCACUUCCGCCGGUGCUCGAGCUCUUGCCUUCCUGCCCAAAUGCUCCCACGGCUGCCGAUUUGGGCGCGGAGGACGAGGAGGAGAAGAUGAGCGCUAGGCUCUUCGGCGUCUGCAUCGGGCGGAAGCGAAUGCGUCACGACGGCGAGGACCUGACGAGCCGAGGAGCGGCGGCGGAGGUGAAGCCUGAGCCGAUGGACGCGCAGCAGCCCCCCGGAAUGGACGGUCACACGCCGGAGGUGCAAGCCUGGCCCAUUUACCGGCCCAGACCCGUGUACCACCCCCUCCGCGCCUCCGACGGGUCAAACUGCUACAGCGGGAGUGACGACCACAACGGGUCCAACUCCAGGUGA
rnacentral:rRNA from 1 species